CGGAACUCGCGGGCCCCAACGCGCCUGCGCUUCCCCAGGUGCGUCGCUGCGUCUCGCGUUCUUCCGGGAGCUGCCCGGGCGGCGGGUCAGCAGUCGGCUCCGCGCAGACCGCCGAGCCCCGUCGCGGGCCCGGCAUGAACCGCUACCUGCUGCCGCUGUCGGCGCUGGGCACCGUAGUAGGCGGCGCCGUGCUGCUCAAGGACAAUGUUGCCGGUGGGGUUUGCCCCAGCAAGGCCACCAUCCCUGGAAAGACGGUCAUCGUGACAGGCGCUAACACAGGCAUAGGGAAGCAGACCGCCUUUGAACUGGCCAAAAGAGGAGGCAACAUCAUCCUGGCCUGCCGAGACAUGGAGAAGUGUGAGGCAGCGGCAAGGGCCAUCCGCCGGGAGACCCUCAAUCACCAUGUGAAUGCCCGGCAGUUGGACCUGGCCUCCCUUAAGUCCAUCCGAGAGUUUGCAGCGAAGAUCAAUGAAGAGGAGGAGCGAGUGGACAUUCUCGUCAACAACGCGGCCGUGAUGCGGUGCCCCCACUGGACAACGGAGGAUGGCUUUGAGAUGCAGUUUGGCGUUAACCACCUGGGUCACUUUCUCUUGACAAACUUGCUGCUGGACAAGCUGAAAGCCUCAGCCCCUUCACGGAUCAUCAACCUCUCGUCCUUGGCCCACAUUGCUGGGCACAUAGACUUUGAUGACUUGAACUGGCAGACGAGGAAGUAUGACCCCAAAGCCGCCUACAGCCAGAGCAAGCUGGCCAUCGUCCUCUUCACCAAGGAGCUGAGCCGGCGGCUGCAAGGCUCUGGUGUGACUGUCAAUGCCCUUCACCCCGGUGUGGCCAGGACAGAGCUGGGCAGACACACAGGCAUCCAUGGCUCCACCUUCUCCAGCACCACCCUCGGGCCCAUCUUCUGGCUGCUGGUCAAGAGCCCCGAGCUGGCUGCCCAGCCCAGUACAUACCUGGCCGUGGCGGAGGAACUGGUGGAUGUUUCCGGAAAGUACUUUGAUGGACUCAAACAGAAGGCCCCAGCCCCCGAGGCUGAGGAUGAGGAGGUGGCCCAGCGGCUUUGGGCUGAAAGUGCCCGCCUGGUGGGCUUGGAGGUGUCCCAUGUGUCCUCUGUGAGGGAGCAACCCCUUCCCAGAUAACCUCUGGAGGUUUGAAAGCCAGGAUGGAGGCUGAGGCUCCAGGAUGGAGCCACAAGACCGAGGACCGCAGGCCGCCACGCCCGCAGCAUCCUCUAGGGGGCGGUGUCAGCACCACCUGAGCUGGGAGACGCAGAACUGCCGGCUGCCACAACCGCAGCAUCCUCUAGCGGGCAGUGCUGGUCGCAGCGGACUGGCUUGCAGGUGGGCACUGCCCUGGGCUCUGGCUGGUCCCGUGUGCUCUGCUGCCAGCAGGGGAGCAGGGCCAUACUUGCUCUGGGAAUCUAAACUGGGUAUGGCUGAGGAGGAACAGUCUCUGUAUGCUUGAGGGCGAUGUCAGGAGAGCCAGCGGUGCCCGUGGGGGUGGGUUCCAAGGUGCUCCGUGAAGAGCAUGGGCAAGGUGUCUGACACUCGGUGGAUUCCUGGGUCCCUGUGGGACGCUGUGCACGCAUGGUCCUCUCUUGAGCCUUGAUUUCUCCAGCGGUGAGGUGCUCAGAAUAGCUGCUACCUCCUGUGAUGGCGUGGUGUGGUGAGCUGUUGUCUGGCCGUUGCAUGGCUGUGCACAGCCCCUGCCAGAGGUGCUUGCUGAGGGCUUCCUGUGCCAGAUCCCGGCCAGAGAGCAGGUGUCAUCUGAGUUCAAGCUCUGCCUGGAAUGGACUGGGAACUCCACCAGCUGCUGCAAGAACCUGGGAGUGCCUGGGGUUCCCACCUUCCUGUCAGUUCUCAUGGUAAUCCAUCCAAACUGCAGACUCUCAAGCUUGCUCAUUUAAAAAAAAAAUGUAGCGUUGUAGGUUUUUUUUUUUU